rfam:Triticum urartu cultivar G1812 contig777819, whole genome shotgun sequence.
UUUUUAUUGAGUUUGAUGAUGGCUCUGAUUGAACGCUGUCCAAAGGCUUGACACAUGCUAAUCGAACGUCAUUUUCUUGCUAUACUGUAUGGUGUGGCUAAGCGCUCACAAAGCGCUAAAUCAUAACUUAGGCGUAGCAAGAAAAAUGAAGUGGUGUAAAGGUGAGUAUAUAAUAUUUUUUGGCUACCUUAAAGUAAGGAAAACAAAAUUCCUUAUAAAGUAUAUGAUACUGCUAGCUCGCAAAGCGCUGCACUAAGUUGACUAUACAAAAGAAAAAAAACUUUUCGCUUUAAGAUGUUCAAGAUAUUUCCGAGUAAGUAGUAGUUAAGGUAACUACUUAACUAGCUUUAGCUCGUAGUCGAAACUGAGAGGUUGAUCGACCACAUUGGGUCUGAAAAAACCCCAAUACGUGUAGUACAGCAGUGAGGAAUAUUGGUCAAUGGCCUAACGGCCGAACCAGCAAUUUGGGGGAAUGUGAUAUCUUUUAGUCGGGAUAUCAAGAUAAACGACUCUGUCGUAUAAAGUUCUAGAUAGAUGAUUGAUUAUGACAGUUUUCUAUCUAUAUGUCUUGACCAAAUCUUGUGCCAGCAGUCGCGGCAAUACAAGGAAGACUAGUGUUAUUCAUCUUAAUUAGGUUUAAAGGGUACCUAGACAGUAUUUCUAGCCUCAAAAGGGAACAGACUUACUAGAGUUUUAUGUGAGAGGAAAAUAUUAGAACCAUUGGAGUAGAGAUAAAAUGUUUUGAUACUAAUGGGACGGAUAGCGGCGAAGGCAAACCUCUAUGUAAUAACUGACGUUGAGGGACGAAGGCUUGGGGAGCGAAUAGGAUUAGAUACCCUAGUAGUCCAAGCAGAGAAUUAUGAAUGUUAUAGACUAAAAUAUUUGGUGUAUAAAUGAAAGUGUAAGCAUUCCACCUCAAGAGUAAUGCGGCAACGCAGGAACUGAAAUCAUUAGACCGUUUCUGAAACCAGUAGUGAAGUAUGUUAUUUAAUUCGAUGACCCUCGAAAAACCUUACCACAAUUUGAAUGAUAUUUUUUUAUUUAUGUACCUAUGUUACCCCCACAACAUACAACAAUUUGAAUGAUAUUUAUUUUUUUUUUUUUAUUUAAGAUAAAUAUUACAAGUGUUGCACGGCUGUUUUAAGUUAAUGUCGUGAGACUUUGGUUAGAUCCAUUAAAUUAACGUAAACCCUUGCUUUAUUUUACAUAUAUAGAGCACUUCACCCAAUUUAUUGGAUAUGAUAAUAGGGAUUAAGACAAGUCAUCAUGACCUUAAUAUUGUGGGCUAUAGACGUGCCACAUUUAUUUGUACAAAAGGAGGCGAAAGUGCGAACUUUAGCUAAUCCUUAAAACAGAAUAAAAAAUGGAUUGUAGUCUGAAACUCGACUGCAUAAAUAAGGAAUUACUAGUAAUCGUGAAUCACCACAUCACGGUGAAUUUAAUCUCAGAUAGGUACUAACCACUCGUCAGGCGCUGAAAGGAGUAUGCGCAAUAAGUUUGGCUAUUUAAUAAUUCUUCCUAUUAAUAAUUAGUUAAUAUUUAGACUUUUUAAAAAAUUCUAUAAGAUACUUUAUUGGAUAGUUUUCGUAUGCGUGACUUUGAUUGGUGUUAAGUUGAAAUAUGGUUCGUGUAGUGGAAAUUGCACGGGAUUAAUAAAAAUU